UACGUAGGGACCGAGCGUUGUCCGGAUUCAUUGGGCGUAAAGAGCUCGUAGGCGGCCACUCAAGUCGAAUGUGAAACCUCGAGGCUCAACCUCGAGCCUGCAUUCGAUACUGGGCGGCUAGAGUCUGGUAAGGGGAUCUGGAAUUCCUGGUGUAGCGGUGGAAUGCGCAGAUAUCAGGAGGAACACCGGUGGCGAAGGCGGGAUCCUGGGCCAGUACUGACGCUCAUGCACGAAAGCGUGGGGAGCAAACAGG
rnacentral:rRNA from 1 species